rnacentral:rRNA from 1 species
GCGGCAUGCCUUACACAUGCAAGUCGAACGCGAAAGCACUUUCGGGUGUUAGUAGAGUGGCAAACGGGUGAGUAACGCGUGGGAAUCUACCUUAUAGUACGGAAUAGCCUCGGGAAACUGGGAUUAAUACCGUAUACGCCCUUCGGGGGAAAGAUUUAUCGCUAUAAGAUGAGCCCGCGUUAGAUUAGCUAGUUGGUGGGGUAAUAGCCUACCAAGGCAACGAUCUAUAGCUGGUCUGAGAGGACGAUCAGCCACAUUGGGACUGAGACACGGCCCAAACUCCUACGGGAGGCAGCAGUGGGGAAUAUUGGACAAUGGACGAAAGUCUGAUCCAGCAAUGCCGCGUGAAUGAUGAAGGCCUUAGGGUUGUAAAGUUCUUUAAGUGGGGAAGAUAAUGACGGUACCCACAGAAUAAGCACCGGCUAACUUCGUGCCAGCCGCCGCCGUAAAAC